GCUCGGUGGAUAAGGGCUGGAGGAAGGUAGCACCCCCGGGCGAACCUAGAGCCUCCUGUCACAUACGCCGGGUGGGACUGAGGAACGCAGCAUGCCUUUCGGCCGGGGCUCGCCCACGUACAUGCUUAGGAUGUUGACAUAAUGGCUUUAAACGACCCGUCUUGAAACACGGACCAAGGAGUCUAACAUAUCUGCGAGUAUUUGGGUGUCAAACCCGAGUGCGCAAUGAAAGUGAAUGUAGGAGGGAUCCGCAAGGAGCACCUUUGACCGAUCUGGAUCUUUAGUGAUGGAUUUGAGUAAGAGCAUAUAUGUUGGGACCCGAAAGAUGGUGAACUAUGCCUGAAUAGGGCGAAGCCAGAGGAAACUCUGGUGGAGGCCCGUAGCGAUUCUGACUUGCAAAUCGAUCGUCAAAUUUGGGUAUAGGGGCGAAAGACUAAUCGAACC
rnacentral:rRNA from 1 species